CCUACGGGUGGCAGCAGUGAGGAAUAUUGGUCAAUGGCCGCAAGGCUGAACCAGCCAUGCCGCGUGAAGGAAGACGGCCCUAUGAGUUGUAAACCUCUUUUGUAGGGGGGUAAAGGGAGUUACGUGUGUCUGUUUGAGAGUACCCUACGAAAAAGCAUCGGCUAACUCCGUGCCAGCAGCCGCGGUAAUACGGAGGAUUCAAGCGUUAUCCGGAUUUAUUGGGUUUAAAGGGUGCGUAGGCGGUCGGUUAAGUUAGCGGUGAAAUCCCGGGGCUCAACCUCGGCAUCGCCGUUGAUACUGACCGUCUAGAGUGGACUUGCGGUAUGCGGAAUGUGUGGUGUAGCGGUGAAAUGCAUAGAGAUCACGCAGAACUCCGAUUGCGAAGGCAGCAUACCGGCCCACAACUGACGCUGAAGCACGAAAGCGUGGGGAGCGAACAGGAUUAGAUACCCGUGUAGUC
rnacentral:rRNA from 1 species